rnacentral:rRNA from 1 species
UCUCGAGACCUCACUGACUGGCACUACUCUUGCAGGUUUGACCAAUUCGUCCCUUGGAUCCAGACUUUGAUCCUGGCUCGGGAUGAACGCUGGCGGCGGUGCUUAACAACAUGCAAGUCGAACGAAAGCAUUUAAGACAGAUUACUUCGGUUUGAAGUCUUUUUAUGACUGAGGUGGCGGACGGGUGGAGUAACGCGUGGGUAACCUGCCUCAUACAGGGGGAUAGCAGCUGGAAACGGCUGGUAAUACCGCAUAAGCGCACAGUACCACAUGGUACAGUGUGAAAAACUCCGGUGGUAUGAGAUGGACCCGCGUCUGAUUAGCUAGUUGGCGGGGUAACGGCCCACCAAGGCGACGAUCAGUAGCCGACCUGAGAGGGUGACCGGCCACAUUGGGACUGAGACACGGCCCAGACUCCUACGGGAGGCAGCAGUGGGGAAUAUUGUACAAUGGAGGAAACUCUGAUGCAGCGACGCCGCGUGAGUGAAGAAGUAGUUCGCUAUGUAAAGCUCUAUCAGCAGGGAAGAUAGUGACGGUACCUGACUAAGAAGCUCCGGCUAAAUACGUGCCAGCAGCCGCGGUAAUACGUAUGGAGCAAGCGUUAUCCGGAUUUACUGGGUGUAAAGGGAGUGUAGGUGGCCAGGCAAGUCAGAAGUGAAAGCCCGGGGCUCAACCCCGGGACUGCUUUUGAAACUGCAGGGCUAGAGUGCAGGAGGGGCAAGUGGAAUUCCUAGUGUAGCGGUGAAAUGCGUAGAUAUUAGGAGGAACACCAGUGGCGAASGCGGCUUACUGGACUGUAACUGACGUUGAGGCUCGAAAGCGUGGGGAGCAAACAGGAUUAGAUACCCUGGUAGUCCACGCCGUAAACGAUGAUUACUAGGUGUUGGUGGGUAUGACCC